CCCAGGUCAGGCGGGGCUAC
rnacentral:rRNA from 1 species